AGUGAACGCUGGCGGUAGGCCUAACACAUGCAAGUCGAACGGCCGCACAGUAAGCGCUCGCCUUUACGGGUGGCGAGUGGCGGACGGGUGAGGAAUACAUCGGAAUCUUAUUUUUCGUGGGGGAUUACGUAGGGCCACUUAUGCUAAUACCGCAUAUGACCUACGGGUGAAAGCAGGGGAUCUUCGGACUUUGCGCGAUUGAUUGAGCCGAUGUCGCAUUAGCUAGUUGGCGGGGUAAAGGCACACCAAGGCGACGAUACGUAGCUGGUCUGAGAGGAUGAUCAGCCACACUGGAACUGAGACACGGUCCAGACUCCUACGGGAGGCAGCAGUAGGGAAUAUUCGGCAAUGGGCGCAAGCCUGACCGAGCCAUGCCGCGUGAGUGAAGAAGGCCUUCGGGUCGUAAAACCCUUUUGUUAGGAAAGAAAAGCAGUGGAAGUAUCCCCGGAUGUUCUGACGGUACCCAAUCAAUAAGCACCGGCUAACUACGUG
rnacentral:rRNA from 1 species